UCCUUGGAGAAAAGCUCUUGUUUGUCAUUAAAUACCAGUGGUUGAGAAACAAAGCGGAGGAGGAUGGUGCUUUCAAAUGAAGGGGAGCAGCGUGUUGAACAGCCUGCCUCCGUGCUUGGGACUGCAGCUAGUUAUCCGAGCUACCACCUGCGAAGCUGCUUCUGAUCUAUGUUGACUGUCUGGCCAGUGGCCAGCGACGCUGGCCAAACAGGGCCGACACCAAGAUUCCAAAGACGCUGAGCAGCCCGGCUGUGCGUUUUGAAGCAGUGGGUGGUUCUGCUCCCCACAGGGAUGGAGGGUCCUUUGGUGGACAAUCUUUUGGGCUAAGUCAGGCUCUACGCUGCCUCCCGGG